UCUCCUGCUGUGAUAUUAUCUUCACUUUUACAUAAAUACAUGGGCAUUCCCUUAGUUCUUUUCUUCCUUUCAAUCAUACCUUCAUACCUCCAUUUCACAUAUCAACCACUGUCCUAUCUCAGUUAAGGAUGAGUUCUUCACGUCUUUCCCCAACAGUAUCCUUAAGUAAAAUAAAAAAUUGUAUAAAUUUUUAUGUUAACAAGUGGCACACAUUAAUUUACAGAGCACCUCAAAAAUAAGAAUGUAUAAAAGCUGUCAUAAGUACUAGAGCAAAAUAGCAAUAUUAGAUUUUCUUGGACCCUUAUUAUGUAUAUCAGGCACCAAAAUAUUACAUAAGCAUUGGAUAAGAAUUAAUCCCCUUUCUAUACUACAAGCAAGUAAUUUGAAAGAGGUAUAUUUUUCAAUUCAAUAACUUUUCAGCAGAAAAAGUUCAAAUAUAUUAUAUAUUCUUUUCCCCUUACUAAAUACUGUGAUAUUUAACACUAUAUUAGUAAAUACUGGUAAAAAAGGAAAUUUAACACUAUAAUGGUAUAGAUUACUGCUACAGGACCUAGAAGCUUAUUAUAUUUAAAAGGCAGAUUUUAUUGUACCUGCUAAAGACCCAUAAGAAAUGUCUUGAGUUAAAUAAUCAACAUAAAUGAGGACUGAGGAUGAUUUUUAAAAUUUCUAAUGUUCUUGACUUGAAUUUCUGAAUAGUAGAGGUAAUUAAAGAAAUUCCUCUUAGUAAUAUCUGACUCUUAAUCCUUUAACUAUAAAUUUUACUUGCUUUGGGCAAUAUACACUCCCACUGACUGUCUACUAUGAUAAGAGUAGUAUAAACAGACCAA